rnacentral:rRNA from 1 species
GUCGUAACAAGGUUUCCGUAGGUGAACCUGCGGAAGGAUCAUUCGCACGUAUCCGUUCAAACCAUUGUGAACCAUCCACUGUGAGGUUCUCAGCGAGGGAAAGCGAUAGCAUCAAUGCCCUGGUUGAGAAACUCGCGGGCAGCAGGGCGGGAUUGGGAGUGUGAUCCUUUUUCUGCUGGCUGUCGGGUAUUUUGAAAUCAUUCUCUGAUAUUCUGUAAUGUUAUUCAUUCUACAACUUUCAGCGACGGAUGUCUCGGCUCGAACAACGAUGAAGGGCGCAGCGAAGUGUGAUAAGCAUUGUGAAUUGCAGAAUUCCGUGAACCAAUAGGGACUUGAACGUAUACUGCGCUUUUGGGAUAUUCCUGAAAGCAUGCCUGCUUCAGUGUCUACUCAAUUUCAUUCCAGCACAUUGGCCCUCAAAAUGUGAGCUGUGUGCUUGUGAGCAUUUGUGCGUCAGGGCGUGCUGCAUGCCCCUUGAUGCAUGGAAUGAAUAUGUGCUCAGUACGCCACAACCAACUUGAAGAGCAUCUUUGAUGUGAUCUGUUGUUGUGUUGCUGGCGCUGGCAUGCCAUGAACUUGCACAAACCCUUACUCAAGACAUGAAGUUAGGUCAGCAAACCCGCUGAAUUUAAGCAUAUAAGUAAGCGGAGGAUAAGAAACUAAAUAGGAUUCCCUUAGUAAUGGCGAAUGAACAGGGAUGAGCUCAGUAUGGAAAUUGGGGCCUGUGGCCUUGAAUUGUAGUCUCGAGAUGUAUUGCCAAUGGAGGCGCAGAUGUAAGCCUCUUGGAAAAGAGCAUCAGCGAGGGUGAGAGUCCCGUUUGUCAUCUGCAGUCCUCUGUGUACGGUGUAUCUUCUAAGAGUCACGUUCCUCGGGAUUGGAGCGCAAAUUUGGUGGUAAAUUUCAUCCCAAGCUAAAUAUUGGUUCGAGACCGAUAGCAAACAAGUACCAUGAGGGAAAGGUGAAAAGGACUUUGAAAAGAGAGUUAAAAGUGCCUGAAAUUGCUGAAAGGGAAGCGAAUGGAACCAGUGUAUCUUGGGGAAAUUGCUGUGUGCUAAGGUGAUGGUUUGCUGGUUCAACGCAAGUGCUCCAGCAGGCUUAAGAUCUGGAUGCAUGUGGUGCUUUUCGCCUUGUGUGUCAUUGUCAGUCCACAGUCGAGGAAACCUCCAGGUUCAUGGUUGUCCACCUCUGGGUGGCCGAACGUACCUGGCAGAACUCACUUGUGAACUGGUUCGUGCGUGUCUGGCUUCAGCGAUCGGUGCCUCUUGCUUUGUUGCUAACUCCUGUUGGCGAACUUGGCGAAGGCGCUGAACGCAUUCCUGACACAACUACGAUGACAAAAUGGUUCUAUCCGACCCGUCUUGAAACAAGGACCAAGGAGUCUAACGUGUGUGCGAGUUCACGGGUGGUUAAACCUGCUUGCGCAAUGAAAGUGACUGCUGGGAUGUUUGCACCAGCAACCGACCAAUCAAUUGAGAGAGGUUUGAGUAUGAGCAUACCUGUUAGGACCCGAAAGAUGGUGAACUAUGCGUGA